GUGCUAAGGCGGUACAUAUAGUAAAUUGGAUGAAAACAUAGAAGAUUAGCAUGACAUCUGUGAAAAGGAUGAGACGCAAAUACAUGAAAAUAUGAUGAAUACA
ensembl:snRNA U6 U6 spliceosomal RNA